rnacentral:miRNA from 1 species
AGCUCUGCUUCCUCAUACAUAC